rnacentral:lncRNA from 1 species
CUCUCAGCUGGCAAGUAUUUAAUUUUUAUUUUUCCAGUCUGAAUGGAUAUCAACUUCUCUUUGCUGCUGAAAAGAAUUAGAUGGAAGCUUAAAUGUUUACCGAUUUUAUUCUGAUUACAGGAGUGCAAAAUUUUCAUAGCCUCCCCAUUUUUUUCAAUAGCCUUCACAUUUUAAAAACUACUUCCCCAAGAUUUUAAUAAAAAUACAUUUUCGUUUUUUCCUCUUACUUAAUUCACAAGUUGUAGCAAUUUCAUGAAAUAUCCGCAACUUACGUUGUAUCACAAACUGCUCUUCCCUUAUUCAUGCUAAUGAUAACAUAUUUUUUCAUUUUCAAAUUACCUUUCGAAGCAUUACCAUUAUUUCAUGCCAUUGGCUGGUGUAUGGUCGGUAAGUUUUGGCACCCCUGUUUGAUGGAGCAGCUCAGUUUAGGCAUGUAGUAGCAAAUAUUAGACUGCUAUUGAAGAUACUCACUUCUAAUUGUUUUCAUCCUCAUCUUUUAAAGGACUAUUUUGGAUUCAUCAAAGCUAUGGAUGAAGCCUCUAAAGGCAAAUCCUUGAAGAUUGAUUGUGAAAUUUCCGAAAUGACUCAAGGAAUACUCAAUCUUCUAAGCACUCUAUAUGAAUGGAUGACCAGACUCCGCCAAUUGAACAACCUCAACGGUUUGGUAACAAAGCUUUUGCACUAUGGUACCAGAAGUGCAAAGAGAAUAGCAGCAAAUUACUGGAAGAUAUUCUACCCAGAGAGUUACAUCCAGCAAUUGUAUAAUUAAAAUAAUUUUGAACUGGAAGCUUUGGAAACUCAACGAGAAUUGAUUAUGGCACAGGACAUGAAAUGUCAUUUUGUAUGUUUCUAUGUUGUCUCUUCAAGCUACGUAUUUUUCAAGAAAAAGACAGUGUAGCCGUGGUGGCCAGAGUUUUUAAUUAGUAAGUUCUCCAAAUUCAUUCGAUCAAAAACGAAACCGUGAUUCAAAGGAUCAUUGUUAGUAACCCAACAGAAAUGCUUUAAGCAUAAAACUCAGCAGAAAGCCAGAUUUAUCAAUCCCUCGAGAUCUGGUUUUUUCUACAAAAAAAAUCUGCUACAUCAAGUAUCCUCUUUACCUAGUCUGUCCCAAAAGAAUUGAGACUGUUGCUGUAACUUGGCAGCUAGAAAUGUGAUCUUGGUUGUAUUUGAAAGAAAACUGACUUUCCAGAGAUUUUCUUGAAGUUUACUUGUACAAAAUUUGCGAUGUUAUGAAAUUUAAAAAAAAAAAAAAAAAAAAAAAAAAAAAAAUGAUCUCGGCUGUUUUAGCAUGGAUUUUCCCUCCUGGGAAAAAUGCUUCAAAAACUAUCUUCUGAAACUUGGUGGACUAAAUAAUGGCAAUGCUUUUCAAGAGUUGUUUAAUGAGGAGCGUAAUCAUAGCAACAAGAUUUGAAUUAUGGCUCUACGUGUUAAGACUGAGACAGAGAGUUGUAUCUAAUUUUUAUGGGUGAGUUAUUAUGAUUUAUAUGUGAUCACCGCUUUUCAGUGUUUUGAUAUGGAUAUUAAAAGGAUAAAGAACUUUAGUAAGUACAAUAUUUAUGAUACAUUAUCGAUUUACAGAAGUAUAUUUCAGUGAAAAAACACUGAUCACACCAAAACCUAAAGCACUUACCCCUUACUAUUAGAGUGGCAGAACUCUAAAACAAAAUUACAACGUUUUGCGCGGCCAUUCAACUCUCAUUGUCAUGGUUACCCCUUAAACAGCGUAACAAAGUUAUAUUUUAUAUUACCAGUUUAUUCUGUCCAUAAAUGUUUGGAGAUUAGUUUUGAAGAGCUUUAAAGAAAAAUAUAUGCUAUAAAAAGGAGGGGAUUAAUUUUUUUUUUUUUUAAACUGGUGAGAAAGCCCUAAAGUUUCUUCUCCCCUAGGGACUCCUGGUACAUCCCUAACAACUUGUCUGUCGGCUUACUGAUUUUUGAUAAUCAUGCAAUGUUCAUGGAUUGUAUUUAGCUUGCAACUUUAUUCAACAAGCAUAGGGAAUGAAAUGCCCUCAUUAAAAGUGGCAGAUAUUUUCAAAUGUGGCAGUGGAAUUAAGGUCUUGUUCUACGAACCUUAGUGUGAACAAGGUCUAAUGUCUUUUUGAAAUCACUACAUAAAACUAAUCCAUCAUAAAUCCACCAAACACCAUACAUAGUUGAUAUUUUUUUUUCAUGAAGAAAUCGUCUUAUGGAGACAAAAAAAAACUUAUCUUUUCCUGGUUUAUACUCACGUAUUUACUCUGCUCAAAUUUUCAGGUAUUUGAAUUUAAACAUGUGGCAUAUUGAAAACAUAUCGCAUGGAACCUGCAGGCAGUCAUGGUGUUUGGAGUGUAGAUGACUAUCAAUUUGUACCUUUCAUAUGGGGAAGUGCGCAGUUCAUAGGUAAAAUUAUUCGUGAUGAUAAUUAAAAAUUAUCUCAGUUUUAAGAGAUAGUUUUGUCCAUCUGAGAAACAUUGUCUGGUACCUUAUAAUUGUGUUCUGCAGUUUUACACUAUUGCUGCUAGAUUUUCUGUUCUUUCUUCUUUUUCUUCUGCAAGAACAAUAUCUGUCAAAGUUGAAGGUGUGAAAGAUACCAGAAAAUAUUACCAAAUCUGGACUACCUCCUAAAAUUGUUCAAUAAAUUUUAAUACUUGCUUGUAAUUCAUUAACCUCUGUACUAUGGAUCAUUGAAAAGAAUCUAAAAAUUUUCUUUAGCUUCUUUUUUUCUAAAACUCAGCAAAUUAGUGGAAAGAGACAGCUCGUGCGGUUGUAACAACAAAAUAACCAUAAAUGAUGGCAGAAUCAGUCGCUUUUGUAUAGUUGUAUGUGUGCUUCACUUAGUUGCGCUUUUACUCCUUUUUAAACAGGAAAGCCAAUUAUUGAACCAAGUAUGUUCCUUUAAGAUGAAAUAGUAAACAAAUUGCUCAGGAAUAUAUGUUCAUAGGCUGUAUUAAGUAUAUAACAGAGGUAAGAAUUCAAAAGUUCAGUAAUUCAUCUUUUUUUAAAAAAUAUGAUCUGCUUUUUUUACUUCUUUGCAAUGAUAUCAUUACCCUUUAGUCAAAAUAUCACAAGUUCCAUUCACACUUAAAUGCUUUGUUGCUAGACAUCUCAAUAGUAUGUUAAUUUCUUCUUCAAAACUGUGGCACACAUUUUCAUGAAAAUUCCAGAGACUAAUUUUAUUGACUGUAUUUUGCAAUGAGGAACUAAGUAUUAUUUCUGGCUCAAUCAUACAAGCAUUUAUCUGCUCUGAAAAACUGACGGUACAUAAUAUGUUGCCUAAAAUUAGCCAAACAUUUUAGCUCUAAUUGCAAAAUGUAAUCCACUUCAUCUGUAGGUACUAGGUAAAAUAUUACCCAUCCUUCUUCAUGCUCCCUGCUAUUAUUUGUGGUGGAACCAACCAUGAUUGACUGUUUCUUUUUGUAUUUUGUGUCCCUAGAGCCUCUAAUUUUGAAUAAUUAAUGAAUUGUGCCUUUUAUACUAUGUGAUCGAUUGAAUAUACAGAAUUAUUUAAAUAGAAAAGUCUCUCAUUUGUUUGUAGGUCAAAACUGGUCAUUUUGCAGAACAUUCAAAUCAGUCGUGGAACAUAAGUGGACUCACCACGUGGACUAAAGUAAAUCAGGGUCUUAU